CCUACGGGAGGCAGCAGUGAGGAAUAUUGGUCAAUGGACGAGAGUCUGAACCAGCCAAGUAGCGUGAAGGAUGACUGCCCUAUGGGUUGUAAACUUCUUUUAGAUGGGAAUAAAAUGUUCCACGUGUGGGAUUUUGUAUGUACCAUAUGAAUAAGGAUCGGCUAACUCCGUGCCAGCAGCCGCGGUAAUACGGAGGAUCCGAGCGUUAUCCGGAUUUAUUUGGUUUAAAGGGAGCGUAGGUGGAUUGUUAAGUCAGUUGUGAAAGUGUGCGGCUCAACCGUAAAAUUGCAGUUGAAACUGGCAGUCUUGAGUACAGUAGAGGUGGGCGGAAUGCAUGGUGUAGCGGUGAAAUGUUUAGAUAUCACGAAGAACUCCGAUUGCGAAGGCAGCUCACGGGACUGCAACUGACACUGAGGCUCGAAAGUGUGGGUAUCAAACAGGAUUAGAUACCCGGGUAGUC
rnacentral:rRNA from 1 species